rnacentral:piRNA from 1 species
UAUCUGUAAGGAUGGUAAUCUGCCUGCUCC